rnacentral:rRNA from 1 species
UACGUAGGGUGCGAGCGUUAAUCGGAAUUACUGGGCGUAAAGCGAGCGCAGACGGUUAUUUAAGCAAGAUGUGAAAGCCCCGGGUUCAACCUGGGAACUGCGUUUUGAACUGGGUAACUAGAGUGUGUCAGAGGGGGGUAGAAUUCCACGUGUAGCAGUGAAAUGCGUAGAGAUGUGGAGGAAUACCGAUGGCGAAGGCAGCCCCCUGGGAUAACACUGACGUUCAUGCUCGAAAGCGUGGGUAGCAAACAGG